CGAAGGGCUGGCGGAAUCGGUGAAGGCGCGCCGCGUCGCGAGCGGCAGCGGAAACUGACGGGGCGGCAAGCAGCGCGAUCGUCCCGUGGCGCCUCGGCCA
rnacentral:tRNA from 1 species